rnacentral:tRNA from 1 species
AGUCCCAUAGCUCAGUGGUUAGAGCGUCGUGCCGAUGACACGUAGGUCCUGAGUUCGAUUCUCAGUGGGACUA